AUAAAUGUCCCAAUAUCUAUUCAUUUAUCUAUUCACACAUUUUUUUAAACUAUACCUAUUACAAAUUAAAGGCAACUCUAUUUCUGUCAUCACAAUAAAACCUGGUCUUAGAAAUAAACAGGAAUAAAAAAAAAAAAUAAAAAAAAAGUAACAUAGAACAAAAUAUACAAGUAGUAGUUUUAUCUUUCUCAAAUUUUUAACAAACUAUAAUUACAAUCCAAUCACAUACAAUAAUAGUGAUAAAAAGUCAUAUGAGUCUAAACAGUAAUUAAAACAAUUCUUAAUUAUUCAGGUUUUAUACACGGUCUGGAAAAAGUCUGGAAUUUCAAACAUCAGAUUUCAUACUUUAAAAGUCUGGAAAAUUGAUACUUUUCAGGCGAAUUUUUUAAAAGUCUGGAAAAAAGUCUGGAAUUCGUUUUCACAAAAGUUAUAUGAACCGUGUUAAUACAUAAAUGAUUAAUAUAGAAACAUGAAUUUUGAAGCUACAGUAUUGUUAUUAGUAAGAACCAUACUAUAUUAUUAGCGAAAAUAGCAUAACAUUUUCUUGUGGAAAUCUGAUUGCUAAUUUAAAAAAAAUGAUUUGUGUAAUAUUCCAAACAAAGGUGAACCUUGGCAUGAUAAACAAAAAGCUACAACUGAAUGUAUUACUAACAUAGAAAAAAACAACUUUACAAUUUACUAGCUAAUCACAGAAAAAUAAAAAAUGAGGGCAAUGGUGUAAGUUGUACAUGGCAUGCAGCAUUUGAGCAUAGGUAUAAUAAGUUAUGCAUUUGGGAUUAAAACAAUGUUAAAGAAACAUUUAAGAACUGAAACAAAUCAUAUUAGCUUAAUAUUGUUCAUUUAUUUGGACCAAUGAAUGCACAAGAGAGUGACUAAGAAAAAUGUGCCACAAAAUGCAAACUUAGUAUCAGUAAGAUGGUUAUUGUAUUCUUUUCAGCAUAAUUACUCAAGCUUAAGAAUGUCUGACAGGCAAUAAAUUCCUUCCUGCCUAUGAUCAGUAAAGAUAAAGAUAGCAACCUUUGCUUAAAAAACAGUUUAAUUUGAUUAUUUGGCAUUCACUUGGGCUACAGAGGAGCCAGUCAGAGAAAGAGCUGUUCCUGAAUCACAGUUCUACACUAGUCAAGACUUUGUUUAUACAUUAUGAUUAUUGCUGUACCAUAGUAGCUUUGCUGUCAUAUAUACCAGUUAACACUGUUUUCAGAAUGAGCAAGUUAGAUAUACAGAUCUCAGCUGGGACUGCAUCCCUGGGAAAUAAUACACUCCUCCUUAAUCUUCAGACUCAAAGACAAGCUUCAUAUAUUUGCCAAACAUGAAUGUAUCAUGUGUGUAAC